rnacentral:rRNA from 1 species
GGGAUUGCCCUAGUAACGGCGAGUGAAGCGGCAACAGCUCAAAUUUGAAAUCUGGCCCUCGGGUCCGAAUUGUAAUUUGUAGAGGAUGCUUUUGGUGCGGUGCCUUCCGAGUUCCCUGGAACGGGACGCCAGAGAGGGUGAGAGCCCCGUACGGUUGGACACCUACCCUAUAUAUAGCUCCUUCGACGAGUCGAGUAGUUUGGGAAUGCUGCUCUAAAUGGGAGGUAAAUUUCUUCUAAAGCUAAAUACCGGCCAGAGACCGAUAGCGCACAAGUAGAGUGAUCGAAAGAUGAAAAGCACUUUGAAAAGAGGGUUAAAUAGCACGUGAAAUUGUUGAAAGGGAAGCGUUUGUGACCAGACUUUUUCCCGGCGGAUCAUCCGGUGUUCUCACCGGUGCACUUCGCCGGGUCUAGGCCAGCAUCGGUUUCCGGAGGGGGACAAAAGCCUGGGGAAUGUGGCUCCUUCGGGAGUGUUAUAGCCCCUAGCAUAAUACCUCUCCUGGGGACCGAGGACCGCGCUUCGGCAAGGAUGCUGGCGUAAUGGUUAUCAACGACCCGUCUUGAAACACGGACCAAGGAGUCGAACAUUUGUGCGAGUGUUUGGGUGUUAAACCCUCACGCGUAAUGAAAGUGAACGGAGGUGAGAGCCCCUCGGGGUGCAUCAUCGACCGAUCCUGAUGUCUUCGGAUGGAUUUGAGUAAGAGCAUAACUGUUCGGACCCGAAAGAUGGUGAACUAUGCGUGGAUAGGGUGAAGCCAGAGGAAACUCUGGUGGAGGCUCGCAGCGGUUCUGACGUGCAAAUCGAUCGUCAAAUCUGCGCAUGGGGGCGAAAGACUUAUCGAUCCAUUUAAGGGGU